rnacentral:lncRNA from 1 species
UGGGACAACCAAAAUGUCUCUAGGCACUGCCAAAUGACCUUGGGAGAGGGAGGAUAAUAGUUCCAAUUUGAGAAACACUAAAAUAAGAUACUAAAAAAAUCUCUAGGUUACUUGAAUAUAGGAUUUUUCUUUCUUUAAAGAAACACUUGAAACCCUACAUUACAUAUACAUAUACCUUCAUCAUCAAUACCACCUGUGACCCAAAAGAGUCGUUGAGCACCUACUAUGCUUUUCAUAAAGCACUUUGUGAAAGCUGGGCACACAGAGAAGUUUAGAAUGUGUCCUCUGUUCUUAAGAGCCAUAGAAGAGAUUUGAAGACCUACACACACACACACACACACACAUACAUGCAUAAUCAUCAAUAUACAUGUAGCUUCAAUGUCUACUUUUAGAAUGGGUAGCACUGGAGAGAGGAAUUGUCCAUCAAGUAAAACCAAAAAUUACAUUCCUUCAGACAAGAUCUGAGAAACUCCAUGAAUGCUCUCCUCUUUCCCAUUCCCUAAAAAGUGUUCUCUUUUUCUUGCCUCACAUCGUUCCAGAAUGAGGUGGGCUCUAGAGUAAAGAAGACAGAAGCAAAAACAUUUUUCCUCUUUAUAGAACGCAGAAAAUUUUCUGGAAAUUAAGUUUAUUUCAGUGCAUUCAACCAACUUGAUUGGAAGCGGAAUGGUGAAGAAGAAAGAGAAACGAGAUUCAUCUGAAUUGAUUUUAGGUGACUCUGUGCUACAAACUGCUUUUUUUUUUUUGGCCCCAGGCAGGUCAUUUGAACUCUCUGGACUUCAUUUUCCUCAUCUCUAGUCAGUUGUAAGCCUCCCAAGUAUUUUAUUUGCUCUAGGUUGAAAUAAAAAUUGUGUCUUCUCUAGGCUUUGAAUCUCCAUGCUAUGACACUCAGCAUGGGACCCUAAAUCAUGGUUAGCUGAGUUCAAUUCAAUUGCAUAGAUAAAUGUCAAGUACCAUGCCCAGGUGAACCGGGUAUCUUUCUUCCCAUUCUGACAGCACAUUGACUUCAGUUGCUUUUGAUAGCUAGUAAUCAGUCUUUUCAAUUCAGAACUCUACCUCUGAAAGAUUCUGAAAAACGUAUGUAAACAUGUGAAUAAAAUGAAGAAUAACAUUUAUUUGAGUACAUGUUUAUGAAGCAGAACAUGAUAUACUUAACACACACACACACACACACACACACACACACACCCCUCUGGAACCAGCUGCCUGGGUUCACUUCUCAGUCCUGCAAUUUCCUAGGUGUGUAAUCAUCUGUGAAAUGACAAUAAAAAUCAGACUUCCCUCACAGGGUUGCUUUGAAAGUUAAAUGAACACAUAAUAUAUGUAGAAGAGGGCCUGACCCAACUCAAAUUCCC